rnacentral:ncRNA from 1 species
AAUCAUAAUUUUAAAAAAAAAAACAUGAAUAUGCUCUAUCUUGACAACUAUCUAAGUGUAAUACAGAUGUCCUAAGGUGAGCUUAGGGAGGAUGGAAACCUCCCACUGAGCAAAAGGGCAAAAGUGUGCUCGAUCUUGAUAUUCAUUACAAAUACAGACAUUUUGGGUUUUAAGCAGGAUGUUUCAGAAAAGUUACCACAGAGAUGACUGGCUUACGGUGGCCAAGAGUUCAUAGUCAUGUCGCUUUUUGGCCUUUGAUGCCGGUCCUUCCUAUCAUUGUGAAGCAGAAUUCACCAAGCGUUGAAUUGUUCACCCACUAAUAGGGAAUGUGAUCUAGGUUUAGACUGUAAUGAGAUGAGUUA